UACGUACUGCGCGAACGUUAUUCGGAAUCACUGGGCUUACAGGGUGCGUAGGCGGCUUUUCAGGUCUGGUGUGAAAUCCCCCGGCUCAACCGGGGAAUGGCAUUGGAAACCGAAAGGCUCGAGGUAGCUAGAGGCAUGCGGAACUUCCGGUGGAGCGGUGAAAUGUGUUGAGAUCGGAAGGAACACCAGAGGCGAAAGCGGCAUGCUGGGGCUAUUCUGACGCUGAGGCACGAAAGCCAGGGGAGCGAACGGG
rnacentral:rRNA from 1 species